AUUGAACGCUGGCGGCAUGCCUUACACAUGCAAGUCGAACGGCAGCACGGGAGCAAUCCUGGUGGCGAGUGGCGAACGGGUGAGUAAUAUAUCGGAACGUGCCCGGUCGUGGGGGAUAACGUAGCGAAAGCUACGCUAAUACCGCAUACGAUCUACGGAUGAAAGCGGGGGAUCGCAAGACCUCGCGCGAUUGGAGCGGCCGAUAUCAGAUUAGGUAGUUGGUGAGGUAAAGGCUCACCAAGCCGACGAUCUGUAGCUGGUCUGAGAGGACGACCAGCCACACUGGGACUGAGACACGGCCCAGACUCCUACGGGAGGCAGCAGUGGGGAAUUUUGGACAAUGGGCGCAAGCCUGAUCCAGCAAUGCCGCCGUGCAGGAUGAAGGCC
rnacentral:rRNA from 1 species